CUGGAUGGGAAAAUAAAUGAGGGCUGAAGUCAGCUUCCUUGAUGUUUUAACAUUCCGUUUUAAUAUCAACUCCUCCUUUAAGAUCCGUAAACAUCGGGAGGAACGGCCUUGCUCCAUUUCUGCAGCGAGCUGGCUCUUUAUGUUUCUAAAUUCUCAACAACCUGCUGUGCUCAUCUGCCACUGUCCCUGGACCUGCAGAUUUCUGUCUCUUCUCUGCCACAUUUCCUCUGAUGCCACUCUAUCUUUAUUUUGAGAGAGAGGAGCUUUUAUUUCCAACAGCGGGAGAUAGAGUCAUGACAUAAAUGCUUGUAAUCCAGGCCACGAUUUCAGGAGUACCAAAUUCCAGGUUCAGAUCAUCUGCUCUGGAAUAGACUCCCUCAUGGUCAAAAUUGGACAGAGCUCUGCUAGCCUCCAGGUACAUAUCCGUCCUGCACGCCAAUGGGCUCAGCCUGGAAAGACUGCAUGUUAUUUACUGAGUAGCAGGCCGUGCUAGUGUUGCCUGGGAGAAUCAUUUACUGUUGCCUGGUAAAUAAAUCCAGCUGCUCUAUUCUCUAAGGCAGCCUGGAUGCAGGGAGAAGCGGACAGGCAGCGGGCUCAGUCGCCAGCAGCUGCAAAUCAGAGCUUACUCCCUGGUGAGACAGACAGUGCAGGGCCCAGGGAAGAACGCCUGGUGGGCUUUCUCUGCCUGGAGCAUCUUCGAGAAGGCACGUUUCAUCCACCCAUAAGACUUAAGAGAGACAGAAGAAAUGCCUUCUCCACGGGCAGAUGGAGUGAGCAGUGUAGAAUCCAUCACCACAGUUCAAGGCAUCUCAGAGACUCAUUUCUGAAGCCAGGGCAGAAGAAUCGUGCUGCAUCUCUACAGAAACGAACUGGGACUGGUGGAUCAACAGUUAUUACAGAAGUUGAAAGAAGGAAGGAAAGAAGAAAACAUGAGUAGCAGAUGAAGAGAAACCCAUCAUGUUAUGUCUUUUUGCUUCUCGCUGCACCCUCACUCCAGGGAGACUCAGUGCAUGAGAUUCCUCGACAGUCUCCUGAGUGACCUUGGACCUGGCAUCCUUCUCCUGCCACUCCUCCCCCCAGCAUCUUUUGGGCUGAGGAGUGAUUUUAAGAAAGAGAGCUUCGCCCCAGUGUCCACUGACAGAGGAAUGGAUAAAGAAGAUGUGGUACAUGUAUGCAAUGGAAUACUACUCAGCCAUAAAAAAGAAUGACAUCAUGCCAUUUGCAGCCACAUGGAUGGACCUAGGGAUUAUCGACUCUAUGUGAAAGCUUAAUCCGUAACUGCUGGCACGCUUGUGCUCUGCUCCCCACGCCCCCGCCCCGCUGCUGGUUGCCUUGGUAACUGAUGACGUCAGUUCCUGUUGAAAGAGUGGCCUCCUUCUGCCCCCAGGAACACAGAUGGUUGGUGCGUCCUGCUCAGCGUCCACCGCACAUAGUGGGGGCGUCCCUCCCGGACUUGGCUUCAGACGCAUACGUUCCGCUCUAUUAAAGCACCGAUGUCCCUCUCACAGGCCUGGGCUCCUUCGCCGCCCUGGGAGCUGGGCACCUCCAAAGUUCACAGGCGUGCAGGGUGCAGCCCAGCAAUUCGGAGCUAGCUGGGGGUGCCGGAAACUCCACCAGCGCCGAGAUGUCGGGAAACGAGGACAGGGAACGGAACGCUGCAGGGACAAUCUGGGGAAUCCAUGCGGUAGCACGUGGAGCCCUGUGCAGCUGAGCGCGCCUUUCUCUUUCAUGAUAUCAAGGAUAUUCCGUCAGCCUCAGAAUCUCUUUCCCAUGGAAAAGGAGCAGCCCCGGGCUCAUGGCUCCUCUGAACACCUGGGGUCGGCGGGUGAAUACAGACAAAAAUGCAAGGACUUAGAUUAUCUACAAAAUUCAAGCGUGUGCGGGACCUACCUCUGCUCAACAAUUACAGACAGAGGCUGUGGCGAUAUCAGCUCAGGACAGAGUGGUGGAUGGGACGUGGCCACUUAACCUGAGGAUCGGGGACUGCGGCAACCGCAUACUCCUAAGAGCAUCCUUGGGCUUCUGGUCCCUGCCUUGAGAGGGGACAGCCCAAGGACGUAGCGGGAUGGAACCAGAGGCAUACAUCAUCCUCAGCCACGCAUUAGGACAGCUGGGAGAUGUUCCAAAUGGCUGAUGGGAGUCGCUAGCAAGCCCCACACCCACCCCUGGGGUGUAGGACACCUGAGAGCAGCCUAAGGGACCCCCAGGCACAUCGAUAGUGACCCAGGAGCCCACUGUCCUGGCCACCAAGUCCAGGAAUAGGAGAUGCAAACGUCACACCAGGCACUUCCAUCUGCCGACAGACCACAGCUGCUGGGCUAUGCCUUGACUCUUGACAGCCCAGUCGAGAUGAGAAAGCCCCUUUCUCAACCUGGGACACAUCCUAGGAACAAUCACCCCAGUCUGUAUACCUUGUUAACUCAGGGGCAGCUUGUCAGCACCAUCCCAGUUCCAUAGUCCACCCCUGAGGGACCAAAGCAGAGGACAGUAACUUGCUUUUGAACACCGCACAGUGUCUGCCUGCAGGGGACACACUAGCACGUGGCUCUGAGACUGGCAGAAACCCUGCCAGCGGAAAGAGACAAGCGGCCUUCGGAAGAUGAGGAAUAGCCAGGUUUAUGGAGCACCAGUGUGGGCUCAGAGGAGUCGCCUCCAAAGUGGGAGCACCAGGUCUUUGCUCUGGGUAACUUUUACGCCAUACAGACUUCCAAGUCUUGUUUUCCCGGCACAAGCAGCCUGGCCCUCCCCCUUCCCCAAGCAGACAGUGUGCCUACCUAAGAAGCUGAGUAAGCAAGAUUACAAGAACAGAACUGAUCAGCAAUGCUUGGAGCAUGGCUAGCAGAGCUGCUAGCAAGGACAUGAGGCACGUUGUUGCUACAAGAUGACCAGAAGGAUGGUUUGGGCUUUCUCCAAGAAAACCAUGGUCAGCAAACACCCCCAGCUCCAUCACCUGUGGCUCCUACCUGAAGAUACAGUUUGUUUGACCUACAACAAUGUUGGCAAACUGGCCAGGAGCCCGUCCAUGCCUGUGGCAGUUCGACCCCAGCCAGGGAAGUGGGGGACCCCCAGAAGCUGCCAGAGGUCCUUUUGCUCCAAGGAAUUCAGAGGGACUCUUCCUGAUGACACCAGUGAUCCUCAGCAUGAGGCUUCUGGAGUGAAGAAACUGAACCAGCAUCCACCUUUGGUUUGGUUUGGAGGGGUCGUGGUUGAAUGCCGAUUCAAGUUCCUCUGGAAGUGAGCAUGACUGAUAGAUGUGACUGUUUGUGACAGUUAUUGAUUGUAACUGAACUGGCUGUGUUGCCGCCGAAAGAAACCUUGUGAAAACAGCCGAGAUGAAAUUGUCUUGACGUUCUAACACGGGCGUCUGCGUCUGCAGGUGCAGGAAGUCAGUUUUCUAGGAGGAACGUGCAUUUCUCUUGCUGUGCCUCUGGGAUAGAAAUGUUCUCCCUGGGCUCUGAAGAACUUUUCUCUCAUCAUCUGUGAUUCCCUGAGACUGAAGAAAACAGGUCUUUGUACCCUCAAGCGGGAAAACGGAGUCAUCGCUUGUCUGUCUGGAUGGACGUCUGUGUUUAUCAAAGGUCUUUUCCUCUGUGGUAUUAUCAAAAUUAUUUUGCAAACGAGCUCUUUUUAAUUGGCUGAAAGCAAUUGCAAUGCUCAUCGAAAGUCUCAGAAAUACAAAGGAAACGGGCCAGAAGGAAGUUCAGGUGCAUGGGAUCUGGGAAUGCCUUUUGUUAAAAGAAAGGCAUUCAAAAGGGAGCUUUGCCCUAGAGCUGGUUGUUCCGUGCAGGGAAAAGAAAAUAAUGGACCGGAUAAUAUGCAUACAGAAGGUUGUGGAUGGUUUGUGGAAAAGAACACGGAGAAAAGAGUUCAGGGAGUUCCCGUCGUGGCGCAGUGGUUAACGAAUCCGACGAGGAACCAUGAGGUUGCGGGUUCGGUCCCUGCCCUUGCUCAGUGGGUUACGGAUCUGGUGUUGCCGUGAGCUGUGGUGCAGGUUGCAGACGCGGCUCGGAUCCCGCUUUGCUGUGGCUCUGGUGUAGGCUGGGGUCAACAGCUCCGAUUAGACCCCUAGCCUGGGAACCUCCAUAUGCCGCGGGAGCGGCCCAACAAAUGGCAAAAGAAAAAAAAAAAGAGUUCAGAUGUUCAGAACGGGUUAGGAUUAGAUUAAAUUUAAUUAGGGAACUAGAUUUUGUGAGGAAUCCGCUGGUGCAUGAUUGGAUUUGGUUCCUCUGUUACCAGAACCAAGUUCUCUUAGAAUCUUAAUUUGGACAACAGAUUAUGUGCAGGUUUCUUUGCCUUUAAGUCAUGUGUAUUAGCUUUUAAAAAUUUUACUGUCACGUUAAGUGAAGUGUUGUUUCAGGGACCUGUGAUCCUAUUUAACCAAGUGUUUUAAACCUUGUUGAUAUUUUUCUGACCAGCUUCCCAAAUAUCUAAUUCUGCCCAAAGUUCUUUUGACCUCCAAAUGACUUAAGGAUAUUUCCAAGGAACUUUGGUGUAUUGAGGCAUAAUAGACAUGGAGUCAAAUUCCCCCA
rnacentral:lncRNA from 1 species